rnacentral:rRNA from 1 species
GACGAACGCUGGCGGCGUGCUUAACACAUGCAAGUCGAACGGAAAGGCCCUGCUUUUGUGGGGUGCUCGAGUGGCGAACGGGUGAGUAACACGUGAGUAACCUGCCCUUGAUUUUGGGAUAACUUCAGGAAACUGGGGCUAAUACCGGAUAGGAGCUCCUGCUGCAGGGUGGGGGUUGGAAAGUUGCGGCGGUUGGGGAUGGACUCGCGGCUUAUCGGCUUGUUGGUGGGGUAGUGGCUUACCAAGGCUUUGACGGGUAGCCGGCCUGGGAGGGUGGACGGCGACAAUGGGACUAAGAGACGGACCAGACUGCUACGGGGGGCAGCAGUGGGGAGUAUUGCACAGUGGGCGGAAGCCUGAUGCAGAAGCGCCGCGGGCGGGAUGACGGUCUGUGGGUUGUAAACAGCUUUAGCCUGUGACGAAGCGUGAGUGACGGUAAUGGGUAAAGAAGCACCGGCUAACUACGUG